CCUACGGGAGGCAGCAGUGGGGAAUAUUGCACAAUGGGGGAAACCCUGAUGCAGCGACGCCGCGUGAGUGAAGAAGUAUUUCGGUACGUAAAGCUCUAUCAGCAGGGAAGAAAAUGACGGUACCUGACUAAGAAGCCCCGGCUAACUACGUGCCAGCAGCCGCGGUAAUACGUAGGGGGCAAGCGUUAGCCGGAUUUACUGGGUGUAAAGGGAGCGUAGACGGCAGCGCAAGUCUGGAGUGAAAUCCCAUGGCUUAACCAUGGAACUGCUUUGGAAACUGUGCAGCUAGAGUGCAGGAGAGGUAAGGGGAAUUCCUAGUGUAGCGGUGAAAUGCGUAGAGAUUAGGAGGAACACCAGUGGCGAAGGCGGCUUACUGGACUGUAACUGACGUUGAGGCUCGAAAGCGUGGGGAGCAAACAGGAUUAGAUACCCUUGUAGUC
rnacentral:rRNA from 1 species